rnacentral:rRNA from 1 species
AUUGAACGCUGGCGGCAUGCUUUACACAUGCAAGUCGAACGGUAACAGGCCGCAAGGUGCUGACGAGUGGCGAACGGGUGAGUAAUGCAUCGGAACGUGCCCAGUCGUGGGGGAUAACGCAGCGAAAGCUGCGCUAAUACCGCAUACGAUCUAUGGAUGAAAGCGGGGGACCGUAAGGCCUCGCGCGAUUGGAGCGGCCGAUGUCAGAUGAGGUAGUUGGUGGGGUAAAGGCUCACCAAGCCAACGAUCUGAAGCUGGUCUGAGAGGACGACCAGCCACACUGGGACUGAGACACGGCCCAGACUCCUACGGGAGGCAGCAGUGGGGAAUUUUGGACAAUGGGCGCAAGCCUGAUCCAGCAAUGCCGCGUGCAGGAAGAAGGCCUUCGGGUUGUAAACUGCUUUUGUACGGAACGAAACGGCUCUGGUUAAUACCUGGGGCUAAUGACGGUACCGUAAGAAUAAGCACCGGCUAACUACGUGCCAGCAGCCGCCGUAA